AGAGAGGUGGCCGAGCGGCUGAAGGCGCACGCCUGGAAAGCGUGUAAACCGAAAGGUUUCGUGGGUUCGAAUCCCAUCCUCUCUGCCA
rnacentral:tRNA from 1 species